GUACGCGGACAUGGGGUUUGCUGCUUCUCGGGGAAGUGCUGCGUUCUGGAAGCGGAGGGUCAGGGAGGCUCGGCUGGGGUUUCUGUGUCGUCCCAGCCACCUCCUCCGCCGCGGGCACAGCCCUGGCGGCUCCCGCCGCCCCUUGGGCGCCGUCGCAGCCGCCGUUUCCUCCGGGACAUGCAGCGGAGGUCUGACGGCCGCCGCCACCACCGCGUUCUUCCGCGCCACGCGUGGCCGGCGGCUGACGGGAACCGCGCCGGGACAGCUUCCACCCAGAGUAAAAGACAGGUCAUCUGCCUCCGCCCGAGGCUGCCCUGUCGGCAUGACCUUGGCCACGGCCACGCCGGCAAAGGGAAGGCAGCGUCCGGCUGCUAGGUCAUGUUUAUUCAAGCAAACACAGAGCGGGUUCCCGCCUGCCGCCCCGGGCCGGAAGCGGCGCUGGGUGGCCUCUCCCGGCAGCGUGGGGCGGGGGCUCGGCAAGGCACGGCACAGGUCCUGCGCCCGCGGGACGUGGCGGCCGCCCGAGGUGAGGGGCAGGGAGCCUGCAUGGCGGCGGGUGGCGCACCCGAGUGCGGCAGGGUGGCGGCGAGCGGCCGACGCCUCCCGGGCACCGCGGCAGCACCUUGCGGCGCACCGGAGCGGCCUUCUGUGCGGAACGGCGGUGUUGGCCUUUCGCUGCGCUCGCAGGUCACAUGAAGGCCUCACGGAGCGAGCCGGCAGAGAGAGGACCUGAGAAUCCCUUUGUUCCUGGCUCCAGCCCUUGGUGAGGAGGGACACUGGACAUGCUGAAGGAUUACGGUAACCAGAUUGGAAACUGUCAGUUUAGCUAUGGACUGUUUGCAUAAACCUGUCUGAUAGUUCUGUCAUUGCCACUGUAGCUGUCCUGUACCAUGCCUGGUGAUGACCACCGAGUCCCAUUCUGCUGAGCAAGCUGCUCCAUACUCAACCAUCAGGCCUGCAUUCUCUAACAGAUUCAUCAAACUGGCAACAUGACACAGCUGUUUGCUACCCUCAAAAUCCCAUUCCAAGGGUAUCUGAUUCCCUUGCAUUUGCCUCAGAAAAAUCUGUUCUUGCAGCAGUCCUGUGGGAAGGUUGUGAAGUUGCAGAGACUCAUGGAAGCUCACCACUUGGGAAGUAUUUGGGAUUGGGUUGGGUUCUUGUGUCUAAGUUGAACAGCCAAUCCUGGUGCCAGGAUACAGCUGUGGUUUGGACACUUGUGGUGGAAGUUCUUGGUGAGGAGAGGUGUUGUGGACAGUUGUUCACAACAGAGCACCUGCCUUCAUCAUAAUUGCUGGGUUCACCAGCAGGGUACACACAAGUUGUGCUCACUACAAGACACAGGAACUGAAGGUCUCUGGCCUGUCAUACAGGUCUGACAAAGUGAUCAAAACAACCUUUACUGCCCUGGAAAACUGAAAUCCUGAUAGGCUAGGAAGUGGCUCAGUGUCACUAAACCUGUCAUCUUCUGAGACUUGCAAAAUGGGUAUCAGAGAAGAUGGUACUAAUUGCUGCUGUAAUGACAUAGCUCUCAGUUUUAUGGUUUCUGCGAAGCUUGGUUUUGGGGAGACUUUCUAAAAGUUACUCUAGGAGACUUAAAAGUUACUUGGGGAGGAACAGACAAGCCUUUGGUGUACACAGUUCUGCAUCAGAUCUCUUCAGUUUUGCUAGGCUGCUUUUAUCUGUAGAGACCCUCUAUAUUCUAGAGGCCACCACCUGUUCCUCCCUGUCCCCUAGAAUGGAAACUUGAUGCAGUGAUAUUUUUUUUUUGUAACGAAUGUGCAAUAAAUGUGUUGAAAAGCUUC